rnacentral:rRNA from 1 species
GAGGGUGCGAGCGUUAAUCGGAAUUACUGGGCGUAAAGCGCAUGCAGGUGGUUUGUUAAGUCAGAUGUGAAAGCCCGGGGCUCAACCUCGGAAUUGCAUUUGAAACUGGCAGACUAGAGUACUGUAGAGGGGGGUAGAAUUUCAGGUGUAGCGGUGAAAUGCGUAGAGAUCUGAAGGAAUACCGGUGGCGAAGGCGGCCCCCUGGACAGAUACUGACACUCAGAUGCGAAAGCGUGGGGAGCAAACAGGAUUAGAUACCCUGGUAGUCCACGCCGUAAACGAUGUCUACUUGGAGGUUGUGGCCUUGAGCCGUGGCUUUCGGAGCUAACGCGUUAAGUAGACCGCCUGGGGAGUACGGUCGCAAGAUUAAAACUCAAAUGAAUUGACGGGGGCCCGCACAAGCGGUGGAGCAUGUGGUUUAAUUCGAUGCAACGCGAAGAACCUUACCUACUCUUGACAUCCAGAGAACUUUCCAGAGAUGGAUUGGUGCCUUCGGGAACUCUGAGACAGGUGCUGCAUGGCUGUCGUCAGCUCGUGUUGUGAAAUGUUGGGUUAAGUCCCGCAACGAGCGCAACCCUUAUCCUUGUUUGCCAGCGAGUAAUGUCGGGAACUCCAGGGAGACUGCCGGUGAUAAACCGGAGGAAGGUGGGGACGACGUCAAGUCAUCAUGGCCCUUACGAGUAGGGCUACACACGUGCUACAAUGGCGCAUACAGAGGGCAGCCAACUUGCGAAAGUGAGCGAAUCCCAAAAAGUGCGUCGUAGUCCGGAUUGGAGUCUGCAACUCGACUCCAUGAAGUCGGAAUCGCUAGUAAUCGUGGAUCAGAAUGCCACGGUGAAUACGUUCCCGGGCCUUGUACACACCGCCCGUCACACCAUGGGAGUGGGCUGCAAAAGAAGUAGGUAGUUUAACCUUCGGGGGGACGCUUACCACUUUGUGGUUCAUGACUGGGGUGAAGUCGUAACAAGGUAGCGCUAGGGGAACCUGGCGCUGGAUCACCUCCUUA